GGCACGGCAGGAUCAAACUUGCCAGAGACACUCUUUGCCUGAGUAUCUCAAUCUGCGCCAGUGCUGGGCGUGUCGGUGGCCAUGGCCCUGCACAGACACUCGGGAAAUGUGCCUGGAUGUUACCGCCGAGGUGAGCCAAGAGGCUGGACCUCCCUCCUGCAUGGUCCUGAGGCCUUGGAGAGGAAACUGUGGCUCAGAAGUACGAAGCCAAGUUCUGGCAGAAGCAGGACUCAAACCCCUGUCCCUGGACCCUGAACUUGGGGAAGAGACUUUUAGACACAGGGAGCAACGGCGAGCUAAGAGUCCUCCAUCUCUGACCACCCAGGGCUGUCUUUGCCACAUGUGGUCACCCUCAGUGACGUCCAAGUCCACUCAUUCACUUCCCUUCCACCUCACAACAUGCAUGAGGCAUUGCCUGCUGUCCUUGCCACCAGAGGCCAUCCUAAAGACCGGAGCUGCUGUCAAUGAAGGCCCUGAGACCAGACACGAAGGCCCUGAGACCCUAACGGGAAGGCUCUGAGACCCCGACACAAAGGCCCUGAGACCCUAUCGGGAAGGCCCUGAGACCCUAACGGAAGGCUCUGAGACCCCGACACGAAGGUUUAAGAAGAAAAGCUCCUGGAGGGGAGAGACCUUCCUUCUCUGCUGUGUUUCCCUCACAAGCAAAGAGACAAGCAGGUCACAAGCAAGAGGCCCAGCCACAUUUGUGUGUGGAUUGUCCACUUGGGGUGGGAUGCGAAGCCAUCUG
rnacentral:lncRNA from 13 species